rnacentral:rRNA from 1 species
CCUACGGGCGGCUGCAGUGGGGGAUAUUGCACAAUGGGGGAAACCCUGAUGCAGCGACGCCGCGUGGGCGAAGAAGUAUUUCGGUAUGUAAAGCCCUAUCAGCAGGGAAGAAGAAAUGACGGUACCUGAGUAAGAAGCACCGGCUAAAUACGUGCCAGCAGCCGCGGUAAUACGUAUGGUGCAAGCGUUAUCCGGAUUUACUGGGUGUAAAGGGAGCGCAGGCGGCACGGCAAGCCUGAUGUGAAAGCCCGGGGCCCAACCGCGGGACUGCAUUGGGAACUACCGGGCUGGAGUGCCGGAGAGGUAGGCGGAAUUCCUAGUGUAGCGGUGAAAUGCGUAGAUAUUAGGAGGAACACCAGUGGCGAAGGCGGCCUACUGGACGGUGACUGACGCUGAGGCUCGAAAGCGUGGGGAGCAAACAGGAUUAGAUACCCCAGUAGUC